rnacentral:tRNA from 9 species
GCGGGUGUAGCUCAGGGGUAGAGCGCAACCUUGCCAAGGUUGAAGUCGAGAGUUCGAAUCUCUUCACCCGCUCCA